rnacentral:lncRNA from 1 species
AUUUUCCUUGUGAUGUUGCUUGUAUCUCUCAGUUACAACUAGGCAGAGAGCAAUACUGGUGCAAAGCUCGCUGAAGUAACAUACAUUGAGAUGAAAAAUAACCAGAGAAAGGUACUGAUUUCUAAAAUGACCAAGUUCAGCCUGGCUAACUUUGGGACCAGCACACCAAAUGGUUCAUCGAUUGUAUUCAUUCCUCCUGGCCUUUCAUUGCUGAAAUAGCAAGUUUCCCUGAGUCCAUGCCACUCGUGAGCCAGGACCACUGCUCCUGCGUGCUACCAGCUCCUGCCAAUCCUUCACCACCAGUGAUUCCUCAGAGGGGGUUAACUACUGGUUUUCACUGAUCUCUGCUUGAAAUUUCAGAAAAAAAAAAUGGCUCCAUCUGACUUCUCUUCUGAAAAGGAGUUAUGUGAAAUGAAUAUUUGUUGGACUAUUGAUCUGUGCUUGUUCUUAAAUACACUGCAGCCUUAAUAAAUGCCUUCGGUCCAUCCCUCAGCUGGUGUAAAUUACUGCAGCUCAGUGAAGCCGAGCAGAUUUACAUCACCUGAAGACACAGUCCUUGGUGUGCUCUGGCAGCCUGCUCUUUAAGAACUUGGCUGUUAGUGUACCAGCAUGUGUAAAUCCAUAGCUGAACUUCUUGGAUCAUGGGGUGUUACCUGGGGAAGAAGGGGAGGGUUGGAUGCUGGGGAGCGCGUGCACCCUGUGCUGCUGGAGGAUGGCUGCCUGUGUUGCCCCUGUGCCUGCUGCAACUCACCCGCCAGCCAACCCAAUUUCCAAAGUUAUUCAGUGUGCAAGUGCUCUCACUUUUAUAGGCCUUUUAUGACUUUUAUGUUUGGAACAUAUAAUUUUAAUGGGUGGAAACCAAAUUAACUCUAAACCCCAGCUGACCAGUGCUUCUUGUGAAGACGGUUGAAAUUCUGUUUGUUGCACUCCUGGCUCUCCAAACCACACUAACCUCUUGGCCUCCUGUUCUUGCUGUGUGCAAUGGGAGAUCCAGAAAUUAGUGCAGUUUAAUUCGUCUUUGCUCCAGCACUGUAGUUCACCAGUUCACAGCAGUUUGAAUUGUCAUAAUGUGAGGAACCUAAAAUUUUUCCCCCGGUAGCAGCACACUUGCACACUGGUAGACUGAGGUCUUGUCUGCAUUUGCAAGCUACUAAUUGUGAGGACUUGCAAUAAAAGGGGAUUACUUCAGUUUAUAGGAAUGCUA